CUUGGUCAUUUAGAGGAAGUAAAAGUCGUAACAAGGUCUCCGUUGGUGAACCAGCGGAGGGAUCAUUACCGAGUUUACAACUCCCAAACCCAAUGUGAACGUUACCAAACUGUUGCCUCGGCGGGGUCACGCCCCGGGUGCGUAAAAGCCCCGGAACCAGGCGCCCGCCGGAGGAACCAACCAAACUCUUUCUGUAGUCCCCUCGCGGACGUAUUUCUUACAGCUCUGAGCAAAAAUUCAAAAUGAAUCAAAACUUUCAACAACGGAUCUCUUGGUUCUGGCAUCGAUGAAGAACGCAGCGAAAUGCGAUAAGUAAUGUGAAUUGCAGAAUUCAGUGAAUCAUCGAAUCUUUGAACGCACAUUGCGCCCGCCAGUAUUCUGGCGGGCAUGCCUGUCCGAGCGUCAUUUCAACCCUCGAACCCCUCCGGGGGAUCGGCGUUGGGGAUCGGGACCCCUCACCGGGUGCCGGCCCUGAAAUACAGUGGCGGUCACGCCGCAGCCUCUCCUGCGCAGUAGUUUGCACAACUCGCACCGGGAGCGCGGCGCGUCCACGUCCGUAAAACACCCAACUUCUGAAAUGUUGACCUCGGAUCAGGUAGGAAUACCCGCUGAACUUAAGCAUAUCAAUAAGCGGAGGA
rnacentral:rRNA from 1 species